CGGGCCUUACAUUGUGGAUUAUUUGUUGAUGUGCAAUGUAUGAAUUUAAGAACUAGCAAAAGUAAUAACCAAGUUUCAUAUCUUCUUUUCAUCGAGUUUGAAAUUUGUGUCACCUUUCACCUUUUUAAUACCUUCAUUGAUCUUUCUUUGCAUGUUAAUUUAGCCAUUACGUUAUUAAGAUUUUACCUGUAGGCAAGUUUGUGGUAGCGGUAUGAGUGAGGGGAAGCUUUUGAGAAGUAUCGUGUAGAAUCGAGUUUUGUGAGCAAAGGUUAGAAUUUCGAGAAUGAAAUUCUUUUAGAAGGGAGAGAGUGUGAGGGCUCAAAAAUUUUGUUCUUAUAUUUUUGUUAUAAUUUUCCUUAUUUCGAAAUAAGUUAAUUUAUACUUUCUUUUGGUUUCAUUCACUUGCCUUAAUUUCUUGAAUACUUAACGAUUGUGUCAAGAGUUUAUCUUUUAUAUUUUGGUACAUGUUAAGUUUCACAGUAUCUUGGGAGAAAAGGAGUUCAGUGCAAUUGGAGAGAAUUAAACUAAAUGAAAAUAGACAUUAAGGGAAAACUUGACAAGUGUCAUCAUUGGAACCAAGAGUUUUUAGUUAAAGAUUUCAAGGGCUAAGUUGACCUUAUCAUUUUCAUUUCUUUUCGUGCAAAAAAGAAAACACAAACAAACAAUAGAGAGAGAGAGGGGGCCGAAAUUGAGUCAACAGAGUGAGGAUUUGUUAGUGAAAGUAGCAUUUUCACACAAUUAUUAGCAAUCUGGAAAUUUCGAUGGAAGCUCUAUACAGUUUUGGAAAAUUUGCUAUAAUUUCUAUAGAAAAGUUGGAAUUAAGUUCCGUUCACUGCGUUUGAAACUAGACUUAGAGAGCUUUCUAACGGUAUAAAAUUUGAGUGGUGGUUCGUUUGAUAUACACACCAGAACAUUGACAAAAUUGACUGAAAAUUUUACCCCGCACAAGUAAAAAACUGGAAUGUUGCAGUAGUUUGCGACUCAAUUUAGACCAAUUUAUGAACUGAAUCUCUUUAAGAUGUUUUCUAAAGAUUUCUAGUUUUCAAUGGGGCAAGUUGUAUCAUUUUUCGACAAUUAUAACUCAAGUUAUGAUUUUUCAAAGGAAUGAUACUUGUUGAAAU
rnacentral:lncRNA from 1 species